rnacentral:rRNA from 1 species
UAAUGCUUGGGAAUCUGGCUUAUGGAGGGGGAUAACUACGGGAAACUGUAGCUAAUACCGCGUAGAAUCGGGAGAUGAAAGUGUGGGACCUUCGGGCCACAUGCCAUAGGAUGAGCCCAAGUGGGAUUAGGUAGUUGGUGAGGUAAAGGCUCACCAAGCCGACGAUCUCUAGCUGGUCUGAGAGGAUGACCAGCCACACUGGGGCUGAGACACGGCCCAG